CCGCCCUGGACCCUGUGAGCUUUGCACGGCGGCCCCAGACCCUGCUCCGGGUCGCGUCCUGGGUGGCAACCUCUGGGCCAGCCGCACCUUGGCGCCUGUCUUGGAGGAGGGCGGUGCCCAUGGUGGGGCAGGGGGCUUUGGCCUCCCCUGCGGAGUGGCUCUGACCACACCGGGAGGCAGGACGCUGCGUUUUGGUCCGAGCGCAUGUACCGACUUGUGGCCCACUCUUGGGGGACAAGUGCAUGUCCCGGCUUCCCCCUCGGCUUGGUCUCUCGGAGCUGGAGCGGGAAAGGAGCGAAGGGGUGAGGUUGAGGCUGGAGAUCUUUUCUUGGAAACACAUGGCUGCCCCAUGCAGCCCUGGUUAAAAUGACCGCGGUCCCCCUUCAUGCCUGUCUCCCGGAACUGGUGGGCAGGAGGCAUGGAGGUCUGACGGAACCCCAGAGGUCAACGGUGUCAUCUUUUCAGCCCCAACACUUACAGGUGUUCUCCAUCGCCGUCUUCGGGCCCAUCGUCAACGAGGGCUACGUGAACACCGACAGCGGCCCCGAGCUGCGCUGCGUGUUCAACGGGAAUGCAGGCGCCUGCCGCUUCGGCGUCGCGCUGGGCCUCGGAGCCUUCCUCGCCUGCGCCGCCUUCCUGUUCCUCGAUGUGCGCUUCCAGCAGAUCAGCAGCGUCCGCGACCGCCGGCGCGCUGUGUUGCUGGACCUGGGCUUCUCAGGUGGGCGGGGCCGGGACGAGGAGCUGGGGGGAUGGGCGGGGCCUGAGGCGGCGAGCG
rnacentral:lncRNA from 1 species